GGGUGGUAGAUGAGCAUUUAAGAUUUCUUCUAAGGGUAUUGUGAGACUCAUAACAAUACCCUAGUUUUUCAGGGCUUCCUCCUCGGUGGAUUCUUGCAGUGCCUCUGAAAAUAGCCACAAGGGAUAACCCUGAGUACGAGGUACUCAGCAAGGCUUACCCGACUAACCAAUAUAAUAGCUUUUCUUGGAACUAUAUGAUAGCUUUUCUCGUGUACUUGGCUGACACAUUUUUGGCAAAAGAGCUUACUAGGAGUGAAACCUUAGCUUUAUCUUUUAUUUUGAUUGAGUUAUUACUUAUCCAUUCUAAAUGAUGAUAAAAGAUUAAUUGCAAACAACAAGGUAUUAAGUCAUACACCAAAUCAUUAGUGGAAAGAUGUAGCAUUCAUGCAUUUAUGCUACGAUUCUCAACAGUGAUCAAGUGCAUUCAUAACCGAGAAUUGCGGCGAUCCGGAUCAAAUUACAUCCUGCAGGAGAGUACCCUGAUCACCAGUUAUAUACGACUGUCCAGGUCGUACGUAAUGACUUUUCGAUUAGCAAAUCCAAUGAUUGGGAAUAAGACUACCCGGACCCAGGGACGCACCCCCACAUGGGACCCCACGUCUGGCCUGAUCACCAUGUGAGUUUCAGGCUACGCCCUUGCCAAUCUCCAGCACGUCAAGCGCAGGUACGAA
rnacentral:lncRNA from 1 species